UAGGGAAUCUUCCGCAAUGGACGCAAGUCUGACGGAGCAACGCCGCGUGAGUGAAGAAGGAUCUCGGUUCGUAAAACUCUGUUGUUAGAGAAGUACAGCGCAUAGAGUAACUGUUAUGCGUGUGACGGUAUCUAACCAGAAAGCCACGGCUAACUACGUGCCAGCAGCCGCGGUAAUACGUAGGUGGCAAGCGUUGUCCGGAUUUAUUGGGCGUAAAGCGAGCGCAGGCGGUCAAUUAAGUCUGAUGUGAAAGCCCCCGGCUCAACCGGGGGGGGUCAUUGGAAACUGGUUGACUUGAGUGCAGAAGAGGAGAGUGGAAUUCCAUGUGUAGCGGUGAAAUGCGUAGAUAUAUGGAGGAACACCAGUGGCGAAGGCGACUCUCUGGUCUGUAACUGACGCUGAGGCUCGAAAGCGUGGGUAGCAAACAGG
rnacentral:rRNA from 1 species